AUGCCACACGCCGCGUUCCUCCGCCCGCUCAUCCCGCCGCCUCUCGUCCCCGCGAGGCCGCUCGCCGCGCGAUGCCGCCACCUUCGCGGCGUCCGCGGGAGUUGCGCCCCCGGCGAGGGCGCGGGCGAGGGCGCCCCCGGCGCGGAGUGGCUGAGCUCGGCGGUCGGGGAGAAGGUGGACGAGCUGCUGCGGCGCGAGGAGAACCGGGCGCUGCUGGACGGGGUCGAGGCCGCCGAGCGCCGCGUGGAGCUCGCCCGCGCCAAGCUCGCGGACAUCGAGCGCCAGGAGGCCGCCGCCCGCCUCGCCACCGAGGAGGUCCGCCGCCUCGAGAGGCGCCGGGACGAGAUUGCAGAGUCACAGCGGGAAUUGCUACAGGCAAGAGAAAUGAUUGAUGAAGCACAGUGUACCUUGACUUCUAGCCUUGAGGAUCGAAGCUUUUGGAAUACGUCAGGUGGAGAAGAUAUCGAUAAAGAUAGUGAGAGGCUUGAAUCUGCAAAAGCUGCAGCAAUUUCCUCUAUAAUCGGUGUUCUGGCUAGUUUGCCCAUAUCUUCCUAUGAAGUCCACAGUUUGCCCCAACUGUUUUUUCGAUCAUCGGUUGUUCUCAUAAGUUGUGCAUUGUUUGGAGUCACAUUCCGGUAUGCCGUUAGAAGAGAUCUGGAUAAUAUCCAGCUUAAAACAGGAGCUGCUGCCGCAUUCGCUGUUGUUAGAGGUCUUGCUUUGUUGGAAUCUGGGAGGCCCUUUGAGUUGAGCACUGAUGCCUUAAUGUCACUUGCUCUUGAUGGUGCAGUUAGUGUUGUUGGGAGCAUUUUUAUAUUUCUGUCUUCUGCUAUUGCACUGGACUAUUGUUUUAAGAUGGGAUUUUUGAGCCCAUUCCCUGCAAGGAAACAAUAG
rnacentral:rRNA from 1 species